UUGUCCCGAGCAGCAGAGUAACAUUUACCUCAGGCCCUCAGCGUUGGCCUGAGCAAUGGUGUCCCCACACCUGUGUUGGCCUUUUGCCUAGCUGACGGGACAUCUCAGCCUGCUCUCACUGUGGACCAGUGGGGGGGGCCAGUGGCCAACCUCAGUUAUUGCCACCACUGGCACCACUCUCCCUGUCAGAUACAGAGGGGCUGCGACUGGUGCGUGAGGACCCCAGGCGGCCAUUUUACCUCUCCUCUGCUGCUCCCCAACAGGAUUUUCCUCAGAGCUGCUUAUCCUCCUCGCCUCCCCACAAGCUUCCCAGCAUAGCAGCAGGAGACAAAGGCCGCCUUCCCUGCAGGCCUGUGUGGGAGAGCUUAGGUUUGGCAUACUGUUAUGAGGCCUGACUCAUGGCCCAUGUCCUGCUACAAAGUGCCUCCCACCUUUGAAAAGAAAUCUGAUUGCCCCGUUCCAGUGGCCCCUGACCUCAGGCCCCGGAAGAUCCUUCUUCAUCAGCACAAAGACUUUUAUUUCCAGGUUUUGAAGCAUUCAAGAAAUCAUCAUUUUCUAGCUGCCAUACAUGCUCUCUGAGGACAUAAACUCUUACUGCUAGGACAAGUGAAAUCAAGACUUAUCAUGUAGGAUGUCAGGAUAUAAGAACAACUGUGAAAAUGGACUGUGAUGUCAAGUUGUACAUACAUUUCAAGGGAUGUGCUAUCAUAUGACAUGUACUAAUGCAAUUUGCAUUAAUUCCUAAUAAAAAUAUAAAUUUCAUGUUAACUAUUUGAUAGGUCUCUUUAUAAUUUGUCUUAUGCUAAUAUUUGAACUCAUUCUCUGUGCCAUAAAACAUUAUUUGAAACAAAUUAACCUCAAACCAUAAUCAAAUCAAUUUAUUUGCUUGUCUGAUAAUUUGUAGGAUAGGCUAUAACAUCAAUGACUGUAAAGCGGUGUAGCCUGACCACAUCAUGUGAGAUC